rnacentral:rRNA from 1 species
AGUGAACGCUGGCGGUAGGCCUAACACAUGCAAGUCGAACGGCAGCACAGGAGAGCUUGCUCUCUGGGUGGCGAGUGGCGGAUGGGUGAGGAAUACAUCGGAAUCUACUUUUUCGUGGGGGAUAACGUAGGGAAACUUACGCUAAUACCGCAUACGACCUACGGGUGAAAGCAGGGGACCUUCGGGCCUUGCGCGAUUGAAUGAGCCGAUGUCGGAUUAGCUAGUUGGCGGGGUAAAGGCCCACCAAGGCGACGAUCCGUAGCUGGUCUGAGAGGAUGAUCAGCCACACUGGAACUGAGACACGGUCCAGACUCCUACGGGAGGAAGCAGUGGGGAAUAUUGGACAAUGGGCGCAAGCCUGAUCCAGCCAUACCGCGUGGGUGAAGAAGGCCUUCGGGUUGUAAAGCCCUUUUGUUGGGAAAGAAAUCCAGCUGGCUAAUACCCGGUUGGGAUGACGGUACCCAAAGAAUAAGCACCGGCUAACUUCGUGCCAGCCGCCGCAGUAA